rnacentral:rRNA from 1 species
ACAGAUCGUUCAGAGUUUGAUCCUGGCUCAGACGAACGCUGGCGGCAGGCUUAACACAUGCAAGUCGAGCGCCUCGCAAGAGGAGCGGCAGACGGGUGAGUAACACGUGGGAAUCUACCCAUCCCUGCGGAACAACUCCGGGAAACUGGAGCUAAUACCGCAUACGCCCUUCGGGGAAAGAUUUACCGGGGAUGGAUGAGCCCGCGUUGGAUUAGCUAGUUGGUGGGGUAAAGGCCUACCAAGGCGACGAUCCAUAGCUGGACUGAGAGGAUGAUCAGCCACAUUGGGACUGAGACACGGCCCAA